AGAACGAACGCUGGCGGCAUGCCUAACACAUGCAAGUCGAACGAGACCUUCGGGUCUAGUGGCGCACGGGUGCGUAACGCGUGGGAAUCUGCCCUUGGGUUCGGAAUAGCAGUUGGGAAACGACUGCUAAUACCGGAUGAUGACGUAAGUCCAAAGAUUUAUCGCCCAGGGAUGAGCCCGCGUAGGAUUAGCUAGUUGGUGAGGUAAGGCUCACAAGGCGACGAUCCUUAGCUGGUCUGAGAGGAUGAUCAGCCACACGUGGGACUGAGACCGACCGGCCCAGACCUCCGUACGGGAGGCGACGACGAGGUAAGGGUAAUAUUGGAACAAGUGGGACGAAAGCC
rnacentral:rRNA from 1 species